rnacentral:misc_RNA from 1 species
UCUUCAACUUGGCAAGCCUUUCAGCCAAGUUAAAGGCAAUAAAUCCAUAGAUGUUUAAGUCACUGUGUCCAUUUCACUUGUGUAGCACCCUCUUCAGAAGUUAAAACAAUUUGAUCUUCAUGAUUCUCAGAACCUGAUAACACUCCCUGAUAUGCCUUCAGCUUUGAACUUAGAAAGGAUAAUUCUUGAUAAUUGUCCAAAUCUACUUGAGAUUCCUUCCUCCAUUCAAUGCCUCCACAAGCUUGUUUAUCUUAGUCUAUCUAAUUGCAAAGAGUUGCAGAGUCUUCCAAGCCUCAUUCCCUUGAAAUCUCUUCACACUCUUAAACUUUCUAGCUGCUCAAAUUUGAAAAAGUUUCCAGAGAUUUGCGAAGAGAUAGAGGAGUUGCAUUUAGAUGGGACUGGGGUGGAAGAGUGGCCCUCCUCUAUUCAAGUUUUGGACAAGCUAAAAGUCUUAUCCCUGGAUCAUUGUGAAGACCUCAUAAGUCUUCCUAGCAGCAUUCAGCUGAAAUCUCUUGAUACUCUUGAUCUCUCUUGGUGCUUAAGUCUUAAGAAUUUUCCAGAGAUUAUAGGGAAUAUUAAGCGCAUAGAUUAUGGAUCCACUGCAAUAGAAGAAGUGCCAUCAUCAAUUGGAUCUCUCACUUCACUUGUCAAAUUGAAUUUGAAGGAUACAACAAUAAAAGAAUUGCCCUCUUCUAUCGGAAAUCUCUCUUCACUUGUUGAAUUGAAUAUUGGAGAAAGCUCAAUAAAAGAAUUGCCAUCAUCAAUCGGUUGUCUCUCUUCACUUAUUAAGCUGAAUAUGGCAGUGUCUAGUAUAGAAGAGCUUCCCUCAUCAAUCGGACAUCUCUCUUCACUUGUUGAAUUCAAUCUUGACAAAAGUGCAAUAACAACAUUGCCCUCAUCUAUCGGAGGCCUCACUUCUUUGGUUACUUUGAAGCUGGCAGUGACUGAAAUAGAAGAAUUGCCCGCAUCAAUCGGUUGUCUUUCUUCUCUUGUUGAAUUAGAUUUGAGCCAGUGUCCGAGGCUUGGGAGUCUUCCAAGCAGCAUUGGAGAGUUGAAAUGCCUUGAAAACCUUUUUCUCUGUGGCCUUAGAAGGCUUAGGAGUCUCCCAAGCACCAUUUGUGGGUUGAAACGACUUAAAGAUCUUUAUCUCAAUCAAUGCACAAGACUUGGCAAAUUGCCUCCUUUAUCUGGUUUCGGGUCCUUAAGACACCUUGUUCUGAGCUACACUGGAAUAAUAAAAAUCCCUGGCACACUUGGCUACUUAUCAUCAUUGCAGGUUCUACUUCUAAACGGAAACAAUUUUAUGAGGAUACCCACAAGCAUUAAAGAACUUUGGGGGCUGGAAGUCCUUGACAUAUCCUACUGCAAGAGGCUCAAGUCUUUGCCAGAGCUUCCAUGCCGAAUAAGAGUUCUCCUUGCCCAUAAUUGUAUCUCCCUGAAGACCGUAUCAAGUCCCUUCAUUCAGCCUGGAGAAUCGCAUGAACAUUCGCCAGAAGAUAAAUAUGGAUUUACAUUUGCUAAUUGCGUGAACUUGGAGAAGAAUGCAUGUAACUUCAUUGUUGAAAAUAUGGUGCUAAAAAUUCAACAUUUGGCAACUGCAUUACUGCAACUUCCCACUAGAUAUGAAGAUAUAAUGAUUUCCCCAGUCGUUUGUUUCCCAGAAAAUGAAAUUCCAGAAUGGUUCAUGUAUCAAAGUACUGGAGCUUCAAUAACGACCCUGCUCCCUCCAAAUUGGUAUGAUACCCAGUUGGUGGGUUUCACUUUUUGUGUUGUUAUUGAAUUGGAGAAGCGUCGUUAUCGGGAUGGGUUCACUUUUCAGUGUAAUUGUCGUAUUGAAAACGAGAAUGGUGACAUCCUUGAAUUCUCCUCCAAGGAGAUUGGAGAAUGGGGCAAACAGUUUGAGUUCGAGUCAGAUCACGUCUUCCUCUGGAACACAAGCUGUGUUGAUAUGCUAAUAGAGGAAAGAUACGACCGGCUAAGGGAUAACUCUUGCACUGCCACUUUUGAGUUUGAAUCUUAUGUGGAGGACGAAUUUAAGGUCGGGAUGCCUGGUGCAAACAAUUUCCAGGUGAAAAAAUGUGGGUUCAAUCCAGUGUACGCAAAAGAUGAGGAGUGGGAUUCAACCGUAGAUAAAUCCAUCUCUUCUUAUGAUCCAAUGCAGAUUUGCAGGAACGAUGGGGCGAGAAAUCCAGAUUUUGGGGAACAGGUGAUGGAAAUUCAUGCUGACAAGAAAAGGAGCACUGAAGAUUACUGCUUUAAUAAGACCAACUGCAUUGAAGAUGGAAGUGAGGAAAUGGAACCACAACAAAAGAAAUUGAAAUAAUUCCUAUAAAUUCAAUCUUAAACAUUGCAUACUGACCAGUGUUGUAACCAAUCCAGCUUUUGUUGAGGCUCGUUAAUGGAUUGGAAGGAGUAUUAUAGUGUGUUUAAAAGCUUAGCUUCAAGAAAAUGUUAGCCAGUGUCUUAUCAUUUGCCAAGUCUAUGGUGCUUGUUCAUAAUUAUAAUAGGCUUUGAUCCUUAGUCGAUUGACAAUAUUAUGAGACUUUUGUUUUAAAGAAUUUGAAGAUCUAGUUAAA